UGUGACUAUCCCACCCACUGUGCUAAGGAGCUGGGUGGGAGUAGAUAUCCUUGUAUGUGAACAACUUUGGAGCCCUCCGAAAAGGGCUCCAUCAUCGUCUUCAUCGUCUCAGAUACUCGCACCCACUUUCCAGGAGGCGAGACCGGGCUUUUACUUCGCGGCCAUCACCAACAUGCCUGCAAUCUGGUCGGAUCCCGCAGGCCAGAGUGGGACGCCCGCGACCCCACACCCAGGCUGGAGACAGGGGGAUCGGCGGGGCCAACCCGGGUGGGAGGCUUGGGAGGAUGGAGGGACCCCCCGACUGCCGCCUCCUCUCCUUCCCCGGGUGGGCGGGCGCGCGCGGGCCGGGAGCGGGGAGGCGGCGUGAGGGCAGCAGCGGCGCGGGCGGGCGGGUCCCGGGGCCGCGGAGCGCGUCGGAGCGAGUGCACAAAUGCCCGGGGCUUUCGCCGCGCUCGCCCCGCGGCCGCUCCCGCCCAGCGCCGCCCACGCUCCCGGACCCGCGAGGCGCCCGUCGGUGGCGGCCGCGGGGACCCGGGCGCGCGAGGGGAAGGGCCGCCCGCGCGUCGCCCCCGUCCGGAUCACGGCCCUGCGUGGCCUCCGAGCGCCGCCCGGACGGGGCUACCGCGAGGAGCCGCGGAGGCCGAAUACCCGGAAAGCAGGGUCCCGCGGACGCCCGCAGCCCGAGGGAAUCAUCAGAGACCAGGCGGUCCUCGCCCAGACACCCGCCCCCUGAGACUUGGAACGCGGACUCCAGAGGCAGCGCGCAAGGGGAUUGUUUGACUUUAUAACUUUCUUGCAGUUGCACUGUGCCUUAGCAGCCCUUUGGUGCUGAAGACCAAUAACUUACAGCUGCAAUUCUUCUGACACCCACUCCACCAACAAACUUCAGGUCUUUCUCAAGGUAAAUUGCUGUUUUUGUUCCAGUAUUUGUGUGUGUCAGUUAAUUAAUGUGUUUAAUUAUUUAAUGUGAUGCUAUAUUUGGUUCCUAGCUUUACUUUUUAUGUUUUUUGUCACUAACAAAUUUUCUGAGUGAUGUUUGCCAAACUCCAUGUUUCUCAUAGGCCAUGUAGUUUAUAUUGCAAGAUUUUGCAGUUUGGUGAUUUUUUUUUUUUUAGCAUUGCAUAUGUCAGAUUCUGGCAGAACUGACUAUGUGUUUACACAGGUACUUCAUAUGAUCUGAAAUAUAUAAUUUGUGGAAUAAAUGAUGUAAUUAUACCCA
rnacentral:lncRNA from 1 species